rnacentral:rRNA from 1 species
CAGCCGCCGCGGGAAUACGAGGGGGGCAAGCGUUGUUCGGAAUUAUUGGGCGUAAAGGGUGCGUAGGCGGCUUGACAAGUCUUGUGUGAAAUCUAUGGGCUCAACCCAUAGUCUGCACGGGAAACUGACGGGCUUGAGAAUGGGAGAGGUGAGUGGAAUUUCCGGAGUAGCGGUGAAAUGCGUAGAUAUCGGAAGGAACACCUGUGGCGAAAGCGGCUCACUGGACCAUUUCUGACGCUGAUGCACGAAAGCUAGGGGAGCAAACAGGAUUAGAUACCCGCGUAGUCCCUGUCUCUUAUAC